rnacentral:rRNA from 1 species
CCUACGGGGGGCAGCAGUGGGGAAUAUUGCACAAUGGGGGAAACCCUGAUGCAGCGACGCCGCGUGAGUGAGGAAGUAUUUCGGUAUGUAAAGCUCUAUCAGCAGGGAAGAAAAUGACGGUACCUGACUAAGAAGCCCCGGCUAACUACGUGCCAGCAGCCGCGGUAAUACGUAGGGGGCAAGCGUUAUCCGGAUUUACUGGGUGUAAAGGGAGCGUAGACGGCUAAUCAAGUCAGAAGUGAAAACCCAGGGCUCAACUUUGGGACUGCUUUUGAAACUGAGUAGCUAGAGUGCAGGAGAGGUAAGCGGAAUUCCUAGUGUAGCGGUGAAAUGCGUAGAUAUUAGGAGGAAUACUCAUUGCGAAGGCGACCUACUGGAACAUUACUGACGCUCAUGCACGAAAGCGUGGGGAGCAAACAGGAUUAGAUACCCCUGUAGUC